CCUACGGGUGGCAGCAGUGGGGGAUAUUGCACAAUGGGGGGAACCCUGAUGCAGCGACGCCGCGUGGGUGAAGGAGUGCUUCGGCAUGUAAAGCCCUAUCGGCAGGGAAGAAGCAAGACGGUACCUGACUAAGAAGCCCCGGCUAACUACGUGCCAGCAGCCGCGGUAAGACGUAGGGGGCGGGCGAUAUCCUGAUUCACUGGGUGGAAAGGGCGCGUGGACGGCCAUGCAAGCCAGGGUGGGAAGCCCGGGGCCCAACCCCGGGACUGCCCUUGGAACUGUGCGGCUAGAGUGCGGGAGGGGCAGGCGGAAUUCCUGGUGUAGCGGUGAAAUGCGUAGAUAUCAGGAGGAACACCGGCGGCGAAGGCGGCCUGCUGGACCGCGACUGACGUUGAGGCUCGAAAGCGUGGGGAGCGAACAGGAUUAGAUACCCCUGUAGUC
rnacentral:rRNA from 1 species